rnacentral:rRNA from 1 species
CUAACGAGGAUUUCCUUAGUAACGGCGAGUGAAAAGGAAAAAGCCCAACGCUUAAUCCAAUAGUAUCAUUUAGCUAUAUGGAAAUGUAGCGUAUAGGUAUAAUAAUAAUCAUAGCAUAUUUUUACACCCAAAGUCCCCUUGAGCGGGGCUACAGUCCAUAGAAGGUGCUAGACCUGUACGGGUGAAAAAAAGUUAUGAUAAAUUAUACUUUGGAGUCGGGUUGUUUGAGAUUGCAGCCCAAAGAGGGUGGUAAACCUCAUCUAAGGCUAAAUACGACCACGAGACCGAUAGCAAACAAGUACCGUGAGGGAAAGUUGCAAAGAACUUUGAAGAGAGAGUUCAAGAGGGCGUGAAACCGCUGAGAUGGAAACGGAUAGAGUUAACGAAACUUUAUCGGUAUUCAACCAAUCAAUUUAGCAAUCUUAAAUUGAUUUAUUUAUUCAUUUGUAAAAAAAUGAAUGAAAAUGAUAUUUAAGAUAGGAAUGCUAAAUUUUCCUAAAUGAUUGGUGUAUUUACCGAUGGUAUGCAUCGAGAGCUUCGUUUUACUAGCAUAUUUAAUACAAUUUUUAGUGGACCAAUUAUUUAUUAUUGAUAAUUGGAAUCCUAAAAAUGUAUAUUCAUAUGUCUUAAAUGAAGUAUUUAUUUUCCCAAUUAAUGUAACUCUCACUUGUAAUAUUAGUGACAUGCAUUGAUUAUAAUUUUUAUCAAUUAUAUUUAAUAUGUGGGUCGCAUGCGACUUUAACAAAUUAWUAUUUAAUUURUAAUAUUAUAUAUCCUAAAAUGCUAUUAAUUAAUGAGUUACAUCUCGAUGUGAACGUUAAUCACCUAUCUGACCCGUCUUGAAACACGGACCAAGGAG